AAGUCGUAGGUGAACCUGCGGAAGGAUCAUUAACACGUCUCCAAACGUUAAAACUUUCUGUGAACCUUCAGUGUGGUCUACGUCUGGUAUAGGAACUGGGUCCUCUGUGCACACCUUCCG
rnacentral:misc_RNA from 1 species